GAUGAACGCUAGCUACAGGCUUAACACAUGCAAGUCGAGGGGUAACAAGAGAAAAGCUUGCUUUUCUUGUUGACGACCGGCGCACGGGUGAGUAACGCGUAUCCAACCUGCCCAUAACUAGGGAAUAACCUUGCGAAAGUAAGACUAAUACCCUAUAAUUUCCUUUGACGGCAUCUGACGAGGAAUAAAGAUUUAUCGGUUAUGGAUGGGGAUGCGUCUGAUUAGCUUGUUGGCGGGGUAACGGCCCACCAAGGCAACGAUCAGUAGGGGUUCUGAGAGGAAGGUCCCCCACAUGGGAACUGAGCCACGGUCCAAACUCCAAGGGGAGGAAGCAGUGAGGAAUAUUGGUCAAGGGGCGGAAGCCUGAACCAGCCAAGUAGCGUGCAGGAUGACGGCCCUAUGGGUUGUAACUGCUUUUAUACAGGAAUAAAGUUAGCCACGUGUGGUUAUUUGUAGGUACUGUAUGAAUAAGGACCGGCUAAUUCCGUGCCAGCCGCCGCUGUAA
rnacentral:rRNA from 1 species